rnacentral:tRNA from 1 species
GCCUCAGGGUGCCUCAGAUCGGUAGGGAGUGCCCCCUCCUAAGGGGCAGGUUGCAGGUUCGAAUCCUGCCGGGGUCACCA